UACGUAGGGUCCGAGCGUUGUCCGGAAUUACUGGGCGUAAAGAGCUCGUAGGCGGUGUGUCGCGUCGGCCGUGAAAACCUGGGGCUCAACUCUGGGCGUGCGGUCGAUACGGGGCAUCACUUGAGUCGGCAGGGGGAGACUGGAAUCCUGGUUGUAGCGGUGAAAUGCGCAGAUAUCAGGAGGAACACCGGUGGCGAAGGCGGGGUCUCUGGGGCCGAUACUGACGCUGAGGAGCGAAAGCAUGGGUAGCGAACAGG
rnacentral:rRNA from 1 species